GGAUUUGAGGGCAACGUGGCUGAGACAUCUAUCACCCCACUGAUCGCCAGGGUCGAUUCAGCUGAUCCGGCUGGCUAGGCGGGUUUCCCCUUUCUCCCUCAUCUCUCCAUGUGUGUCCCUCCCAAAGCUGCGCACUCCCUCAAAGAGGACAAUCUUCCCCCAUAGAGGAGGAGGUUCUUAAGUCAAGGAUAUAAGAGUAGAUGCGUUCCCCUAGUGGAGCCUCCAAACAAGCUCUCAAGGUCCAUUUGUAGGAGAAGGUAGGCUAGUCAAGCUUCCAAGACUCCAGACACACCCAAAUGAGGAGCUAGGAGUGAUAGUCUGCCUUUCCUU
ensembl:misc_RNA 7SK 7SK RNA